UACGGAGGGAGCGAGCGUUGUCCGAAGUUACUGGGCGUAAAGCGCGCGUAGGCGGGAAAUUAAGUGAGAAGUGAAAGGCUGGGGCUCAACCCCAUGCAGUGCUCCUCAUACUGGUUUUCUUGAGGGUGGUAGAGAGAAGUGGAAUGGCUGGUGUAGCGGUGAAAUGCGUAGAUAUCAGUCGGAACACCAGUGGCGAAGGCGGCUUCUUGGGCCAUUACUGACGCUGAGGCGCGAAAGUGUGGGGAGCGAACAGG
rnacentral:rRNA from 1 species